GACCUCGAAUCAGUAGGACUACCCGCUGAACUUAAGCUUCAAAUACGCGAGGAAACA
rnacentral:rRNA from 1 species